UACAGAGGGUGCAAACGUUGCUCGGAAUUAUUGGGCGUAAAGCGCACGUAGGCGGCAUCGUAAGUCCGAUGUGAAAGCCCCAGGCUCAACCUGGGAAGUGCAUUGGAUACUGCGGAGCUUGAAUCUGGAAGAGGGUCGCGGAAUUCCCGGUGUAGAGGUGAAAUUCGUAGAUAUCGGGAGGAACACCAGCGGCGAAGGCGGCCUUCUGGACGGUGACUGACACUGAGACGCGAAAGCGUGGGGAGCAAACAGG
rnacentral:rRNA from 1 species